GAUGAACGCUGGCGGCGUGCCUAAUACAUGCAAGUCGAGCGAACAGACGAGGAGCUUGCUCCUCUGACGUUAGCGGCGGACGGGUGAGUAACACGUGGAUAACCUACCUAUAAGACUGGGAUAACUUCGGGAAACCGGAGCUAAUACCGGAUAAUAUAUUGAACCGCAUGGUUCAAUAGUGAAAGACGGUUUUGCUGUCACUUAUAGAUGGAUCCGCGCCGCAUUAGCUAGUUGGUAAGGUAACGGCUUACCAAGGCAACGAUGCGUAGCCGACCUGAGAGGGUGAUCGGCCACACUGGAACUGAGACACGGUCCAGAGUCCUAAGGGAGGCAGCAGUAGGGAAUCUUCCGCAAUGGGCGAAAGCCUGACGGAGCAACGCCGCGUGAGUGAUGACGGUCUUCGGAUCGUAAAACUCUGUUAUUAGGGAAGAACAAAUGUGUAAGUAACUAUGCACGUCUUGGCGGUACCUAAUCAGAAAGCCACGGCUAACUACGUG
rnacentral:rRNA from 1 species